AGGUGUCAAAUGUAGAAAAAUAUAUGUAUGCAAUCCAUGCAAAUUGCACCGGAGCCUGGGCAUGCACUAGGCCAUCCUCGGCAUCAGUAUAGCGAAAGACUAAUCGAACCGUGUAGUAGCUGGUUCCUUCCGAAGUUUCCCUCCGGAUAGCUGGAGCUCGGGACGAGUUCUAUCGAGUAAAGUCAAUGAUUAGAGGCAUCGGGGGCGCAACGCCCUCGACCUAUUCUCAAACUUUAAAUAGGUAGAAAAGAAUUUUUUUUACAUGUAGACCUUCCUAUUGUAUUUCUAUUUCAAACCAAUUCAUAUAUUUGGAGGUGAAAUAUUUAUGGAAGACAUAAUGGGAAAUCUGAUACUAAAAUAAAUUUAAAUCAGAUCU
rnacentral:rRNA from 1 species